rnacentral:rRNA from 1 species
ACAUCCAGCGAAUUCGGUAGAGAUACCUUAGUGCCUUCGGGAACGCUGAGACAGGUGCUGCAUGGCUGUCGUCAGCUCGUGUUGUGAAAUGUUGGGGUUAAGUCCCGCAACGAGCGCAACCCUUAUCCUUUGUUGCCAGCGGUCCGGCCGGGAACUCAAAGGAGACUGCCAGUGAUAAACUGGAGGAAGGUGGGGAUGACGUCAAGUCAUCAUGGCCCUUACGAGUAGGGCUACACACGUGCUACAAUGGCGCAUACAAAGAGAAGCGACCUCGCGAGAGCAAGCGGACCUCAUAAAGUGCGUCGUAGUCCGGAUUGGAGUCUGCAACUCGACUCCAUGAAGUCGGAAUCGCUAGUAAUCGUAGAUCAGAAUGCUACGGUGAAUACGUUCCCGGGCCUUGUACACACCGCCCGUCACACCAUGGGAGUGGGUUGCAAAAGAAGUAGGUAGCUUAACCUUCGGGAGGGCGCUUACCACUUUGUGAUUCAUGACUGGGGUGAAGUCGUAACAAGGUAAGCGUAGCGAG